rnacentral:tRNA from 1 species
GCUUCCCAGUAUCAAGGAAGUCAUCGGAUUUCGAUUCCGAGGGUCGGGAGUUCGAAUCUCUCCGAGCGCGCCA